rnacentral:rRNA from 1 species
GUUUGAUCCUGGCUCAGGACGAACGCUGGCGGCGUGCUUAACACAUGCAAGUCGAGCGGAAAGGCCCACUUGUGGGUACUCGAGCGGCGAACGGGUGAGUAACACGUGAGUAAUCUGCCCUCUACUUUGGGAUAGCCACCGGAAACGGUGAUUAAUACCGGAUAUGACAUACUGGCGCAUGUUGGUGUGUGGAAACUUUUUGGGUAGGGGAUGUGCUCGCGGCCUAUCAGCUUGAUGGUGGGGUAAUGGCCUACCAUGGCUUCGACGGGUAGCCGGCCUGAGAGGGUGACCGGUCACACUGGGACUGAGACACGGCCCAGACUCCUACGGGAGGCAGCAGUGGGGAAUAUUGGACAAUGGGCGGAAGCCUGAUCCAGCAACGCCGCGUGAGGGAUGACGGCCUGGUGUACGUACUUCUACUACUACACGACGAACG